UAGGAGUUAGGUUCACGGGUUAAGGUUAGGGUUAGAAUUAGGGUUAGGGUAAGAGGUUAGUAGUUAGGUUUAGAGUUAGGAGUUAGGUUCACGGGUUAAGGUUAGGGUUAGAAUUAGGGUUAGGGUAAGAGGUUAGUAGUUAGGUUUAGAGUUAGGAGUUAGGUUCACGGGUUAAGAUUAGGGUUAGAAUUAGGGUUAGAGGUUAGUGGUUAGGUUUGGGGUUACAAUUAAGGUUAGGGUUAGAAUUAGGGUUAGGGUAAGAGGUUAAUGGUUAGGUUUAGGGUUAAGGUUAGGGUUAGAAUUAGGGUUAGAGGUUAGUGGUUAGGUUUGGGGUUACAAUUAAGGUUAGGGUUAGAAUUAGGGUUAGGGUAAGAGGUUAGUUGUUAGGUUUAGGGUUKAGGUUAGGGUUAGAAUUAGGGUUAGAGGUUAGUGGUUAGGUUUGGGGUUACAAUUAAGGUUAGAAUUAGGGUUAGGGUAAGAGGUUAGUUGUUAGGUUUAGGUUUAGGUUAGGGUUAGAAUUAGGGUUUAGGGUAAGAGGUUAGUUGUUAGGUUUAGGUUAGGGUUAAGGUGAGGGAAAAUAGGAUUUUGGUCCACAUGAAGGUAGAAGAACAUAAUGUGUGUAUGUGACACAGGCAGGGUACUAAUCUCCAUACAUACAGUUGAAAUACACAUGAACAUGUUCUACAUAUGGUAGCCUAAGUAGCGGACCGGUCCGCGCCUUGCGCGUCAGCAGGCGACUGCACAGCACAUGUCUUGAUUCCCGAUUGAGAAAAGCAAAGUGGUUUGGUUUGGGUGGAUCCUGGAUGGAAGGAGGCGAUGGAAUGUGUGUUUGCCGUGGACAGUGCGUCUUCCUAUACGUCUUGUAAUGAUAACAGGACAAGAAACCUGAGACUCAACAUCAACGGCAUUGUGAGUCGCAGUGAUCAAAGACCUGGCCAUGAAUGAGGAGACCAGGACGUGUGACUGACGAAGGAAGCUUUGACAACACAACUUUAGACUAAAGAAAAAUGAUGUGUAUCCAGGGUGGAACUGACUG
rnacentral:lncRNA from 1 species